GACGAACGCUGGCGGCGUGCCUAAUACAUGCAAGUAGAACGCUGAAGGAGGAGCUUGCUUCUCUGGAUGAGUUGCGAACGGGUGAGUAACGCGUAGGUAACCUGCCUGGUAGCGGGGGAUAACUAUUGGAAACGAUAGCUAAUACCGCAUAAUAGCAGUUAUUGCAUGAUAACUGUUUGAAAGGUGCAAUUGCACCACUACCAGAUGGACCUGCGUUGUAUUAGCUAGUUGGUGGGGUAACGGCUCACCAAGGCGACGAUACAUAGCCGACCUGAGAGGGUGAUCGGCCACACUGGGACUGAGACACGGCCCAGACUCCUACGGGAGGCAGCAGUAGGGAAUCUUCGGCAAUGGACGGAAGUCUGACCGAGCAACGCCGCGUGAGUGAAGAAGGUUUUCGGAUCGUAAAGCUCUGUUGUAAGAGAAGAACGAGUGUGAGAGUGGAAAGUUCACACUGUGACGGUAUCUUACA
rnacentral:rRNA from 1 species